rnacentral:lncRNA from 1 species
UCUUUUGUGGUAUUUCUGGAUUCUUACCAAGGCAGUAAUGGUACAUGCCUUCUCUUAAAGUAUGUGGUAUUUGUGGUAUAAGACAUAGUGACAUUGCCUUCUCUCUCACCCUAUUCUAAUAAGGCUUUAAUAUCUGGAGCUCAUAGGUGGGAGAUAAAAUAUACAUACUUACAAAACAUUUAUUGCAUAGUCAAACCAUAGAUCCAAAGAAACAAGUCAAUAAGUCAAAUCAAGACGUGCAUGUGUGGCGAAUGAAUGUGGUAUGGUGAUGAUGGUGAUAACAAUGGUGAAAGUCUAAUUCUACUUGUGCUCUUUUGAGGGGAUACAUACCUUUCUUGCUCUUUUGAAACUUUUGAAGGAGAAUGAGAUGCUCUAUAUUUUCUUUUUCUUUCCUCUCAGGUGGGUAUCUUGUACCCCUAAUUCUACUGUCUGACACUUGUCCAUUUUUACCUCUUGUCUCACUUUUUCUUUUCUUUGAGGUUUCGGGCACUUGCUCCUUUUUAUUUCCUUGUAUCUCUUCUUUUUUUAGAGCACUCAUUUCCUGAAAGAAUAUAGCAAGUGGUAGUAACCAAGAUAAUUUGAGCAUUUAUUUCACAGGGGGAAAACAAAGAUGUUUUUGGCUAUUCUCUCUCGGAUUAGGAGUAGAAUAUUUUUGGGUGGUUCUGGAUAUGGAAACAAGUGGAUAUAUGUGGAUGCGUACUUCCGGAGUGGAAACAACAUAUGUGAGUGAACGUGCAAGUGAAUCUUGAUUUAACCACAUGACAAGCUCCUUAGGGUCUACACACCUUGACCACACUCAAUGCUCAUAAGCAGUAAAAAGUAAAUGUAUGGCUCAAAGUCUAGCAAGCAUGUAGAUAUGGCAUGGUAGGAAUUUAAACUCUCAUCAUACAGGAACUCAUCAUGUGUUAUUUUAAAGAUUUUUAAAGAUAAAAUUCUCCAGGAUUCUAGCAUCUCUACGAACAGAUAAACAGCAGGUCAACCUUCCCAUAUCGUAUCCGUUAACAACUUAGACUUCAGAUCAAGUGUUCUUCCCACAAGUUCAGAUUUAGAGCAAGCUUUAAAUUAUAACAAAUAUGUCUAAACUUGAGAGAGAACUCAAAUUUGAAAAUUAGGCAGAGCAACUAUUCAUCAUAUCCAUUCUAGAGUUUUAUUAUUAAGAUUCAGUUUAGCACAGCCACUUUAUUUAUUUAUUAAACACACUAAGCAAAAGAUAUAUAUAUAAGCACAAAAUCUUUAUUUGGUUUUUUCAUAGUUAUGUAUAUUUAUAUUUUAAUAUAUUAUAAGUAUAAAGAUAGAUAGAAAUACUUAGCGAGAUAAAUGGGGGUGCUUUCCCCCAAGCUGAAUUUUGACGUAAUUUCUUCUGAUGUAGCUAGCAUGUGGUAGAGGUGUAUUUGAAAGUCGGCAGUACCGUGACAGUGAUUAGAAUGUCCUCCGUCUGCUAGUCUUCUUGAUCCUUAAAUUUUGUGGAUCUCAAAUAGACAACAAAGCUUUGUGGAACUGAUUAGGUGUUAGCAUAAAUAUCUAGCUUUUAUCAUGUUGAGCCUCAUCAAUAAAUGUUACUCUCUAUUUUUAUAUUUUUAUUUUUAUGGAGCAGAAAAAUUAUUUAUUUUAUUUUUAUGCCACCACAGUGAAUGUACUUAUGGAGUUUAUGCCACUCAUAUACUCACAUGGGGCUUACUAUUUUUUAACAUUUUUAUUUUCUUUUUAGGAUAGUACGAACAUGAUUAACUAAACAAACCAUUGUAAAUAAUUUGAAACGAAAAAGAUAACUACCAAGUUUACCUCUUGGCAAAGCGUUCGGUGUUUUUAAGUCCUCCGAACGGGACUCUCUGUUUUCUCAGUUGUCCUGGGGUUCGUUGGGUGGCGUAGUCGGUGCUUCCAGCAGCGCCUCUUCUUCAUGUAUAGUUAUCUUCUCUCUCCACACCUGACUCGGUGCUACGGUCUCCUCUAGAUAAUUCUGUUCAAGCUGUAUGUCUUCAGACCUUAUCACUUCUCCUUUGUAGUCUGCCCAUCCGUCCUUGAUGAUUUGCCUCCUCUGGUUGCGUCGUCUUCUUCUUGUCCUGACCUGCUUAGAGUCUUCAACGAUAUAAUUAGGGUCAGUAAAAUAACGGCGUACCUUCUCUGAGGGGAGGUGCAUGUGAACUUCUCCAGUUCCAAUGUAGAUGAUUGCUUUAACGGUGUUGAGGAACGGUCUUCCAAGGAUGAUGGGUGGAUCGUACUCGUCUUUUCCCAUGUCAAUAACCUGAAAGUCUGUGUAGACAAAAUGAUCGUCUAUUUUGACAGGGACAUCAGUUGCUAUACCUUCAACCUUUCGGAAUGUCUGAUCUGCCAUCUGGAGCUGAAUAUAUGUUGGUUUUAGGGUCAUGGUUCCGAACAAGAGCCGAUAGGUGACUGCGGCCAUUAUGUUGAUGCCCGAUCCGGUGUCGCAAAGUGUCUUGUAGAAGUUGUACCCAUUGAUGGAGCAAUAGAUGCUUGGUAUUCCUGGGUCGUCCUUCUUGGUCAGAAAUGGUGACUUAAGUCGAUGAUCUUGACCUCCAUGAACUGCAGUGACCAUCUUAGCUGACUCGGUCCACACUUGCUUGUUCCUGUUCCUCCUGUUGGUCCUCUUCCUUGGUUCAUGUCGGGAUUGCUCUGGAAAUUGUGUAGUCUUGUUCUUGAAGGAAAACGUCUCCUUUCUCCCUUUGAUGUAGGAACUGAUCUUGGCAGCACUAGCGUAGAUGACAGCUCCCGAGGUGUUUAAGAAUGGCCUCCCUAAGAUGAUGGGUGCCCUCUCAUCAUUACCGGUCUCUAUCACCACGAAGUCUGCUGGGGCAUACAAGGUACCAACUCGGACACAGAGGUUCUUCAAUAUUCCCUUUGGGAAACUUAAUGCCUGAUCUGCAAACUGCAAACACAUGGUUGUUUAUAAUAAAGGAUAUGUAAAGAAUUCUUCAUAGAGUACCCUGGGCAUAAUGUUGACACUAGAGCCAAAGUCGUAGAGUGCUUCUGGGAAGUCCACCAUGCCGAUGGAGAUCAGGAUGACAGGGCGUCCUGGAUCGCCUCUCUUGACCGGCAGAAGGUCAGUAGUAACUUCAGUGAUGGGGUCACUCUAGUAGUUACCUACAUCAAACAUGUCUAUAAGAUUUGCAGAUUCUAAUCCUUCCGGUUGUGAUGGUAUACCGAGGUUAGUAGUAGGAACAGCAGCAGCUAUUUGAUUUAACUGAGAUUCAAUCAUUUUAUUAAAGCUAAUUUGAUUCUUGAUGGCAGUAGAGAAAUUAUCCAUUCUAUUAUUUAUAUUUUCUAGCAUGCCAAUUUCUUAGAUAGGUUAUCCAUUAGCUUUCCUUGAUUAGACACUAACUCUCUCAGAGGUGGAAAAUUAUUAUUAUUGAAAGAAUUAUUACCUUGAUAAUUACUGAGUAGUUAGGCCUCUGUUGAUUCCAACCUUGAUUUUGUUGAGGACGGUUGUAGUAGUUGUUGUUGUUAUUGUUUAUGUAGUUCACAUCCUCAAGCAUCUCAGGGCAGUGAUUGCCUGAGUGUCCAGUAUCUCCACACUCCUCACAAGUCAUGUGAGAGUCGUAGAUAUGCAUAACUUCUUUCUUAUCUCCAGCUCUAUCAUCGAGCUUCUUCAUGAGCAGGUCUAGCUUUGCAGAUAGCAUGUCUACCUCCUUGAGCUGGUGCAUACCUCCACCUUUCUUGCGUGUCUGGGUCCUUUAUUCAUUCCAGCUUUGGUUGGACGCCAUCUUCUCCAUAAGAGCUGUGGCUUGUGGUAUGGUAAGUGAUAGGAAUGCUCCUCCAGCUGCAGCAUCCAUGGUCUCUCGGGCACUGUUGCUGAGCCCAUGAUAAAAUGUUUGCAUCAGUAGCCAGCUCUCCAUUCCAUGAUGGGGACAUUCUAGGAUGUAGUCUUGGAAGCGCUCCCAUACUUCUGGAAUGGAUUCAUCAUGUUGUUGCUGAAAACUUUUAAUCUUCCCACGGAGAACAUUGGUCUUGCCCAUGGGAAAGAACUUAGCCAGAAAGUUCGUGGAGCAGAGUGCCCACAUAGUAUUCUUCUCCUUUGUAGCGUAGAACCACUACUUCGCUCUUCCUAACAGUGAGAAUGGGAAGAGGCGAAGUAGUAUAGCAUCUCUGGGGACUCCUAAUAUGGUGAAUGUGCUGCAAAUCUCCAGGAAGUGUUGGAGAUGAGCACUAGCAUCUUCUUGUGCCUUCCCACAAAACUGGUUGGAUUGCACCAUGUUGGUAAGUCCAGGCUUGAGCUCAAAGUUGCCGUCGAUAUCUGCAGCAGGUUCAGUACGGAUGUUGUCCGUAGUGGGAGAUGAGAACUCACGGAUCGAUUUGUUCGCCAUGACUUCGAAUUCUGAACACAAGUUCUGGAUGAAACUUCGGUGAUCUUCUUGAUUGGAUGAAGCUUCGUGCUGAAGUGUUGAUGAUCUCUUCUUGAGCUUGGCUCUUGUUUUUCUGAAUAAUGCUUCGGGAUUGUCAACAAAAUUUCCUAGAAGAUGUCUUCUAUUCAUACAUCACCCUGCAUAAGAUAAAAUAAAAAAUAACGGGGUAAAACUGUAUGAGAGAAUUGAUAAUCUCAAUCAUAUUAGUGAUGUGAAUGAUGACUCAAAAUUCCAUAUUCAUUCCUGAUUAGUAAUCAACCUUCCCCGGCAACGGCGCCAAAAAUGCUUGUUGGGCAUUCUUAACGUCACUACCAAAAGUAGACUUAGUUUUCUAAUUUUGAUAACGACGCCAAAAAUGCCAAAUCUAUCCCUCAUGCCACUUAAGCCAAGUUGUCAUCCCCAGUAUGACAUAAGAGAUGCGGUAUUGAAAUAUGCAAUUGCUCUUCUAAAUAAAUAACAAAUGGGAUCUGCAAGCGCAUAGAUUAAUACCGAUGUAGCAUUUUAACCGGAAAGUAUUCCAGGUAUCGUUAUUUAUAUUUUUACCACUAGGAAGGAAUUAGUAAUCAUCAAUGUUGAUUAUAGAAUGGAAUAUAGAAUUGAGUAUCUAUCAUUGCAUGUAUAAUUGAGAGCAUCUAUCUAUCUCUUUCAUACAGGGAUAAAUGUCACAUAAAGGAUAUAUAAAGUAAUGAAUGGUGACAAAGAUAAUCAAUCUGAUCAGCAUAACUUAGCCACAUAUAAAUAUGAUAAGCACCUCAAUUAGAUAUUCUAGCAAGUCAUUAGCAUGGAAUUAGGAUGAACUACAAGAAUAUUUCCUAAGUUAUUCUCAACUAUACAGUCUAGCAUAUCAUAGUUAGUGCAAUUAUACUUAGCAAUCAUUGUGAGACAGGACUACGCCCGUGCAUAGUGAUAUUAUCAAGGAAUAUGAGAAACAUUGCAAUCACUCCCCUGUAAUAAUGUUGCUCUGCCAGCCCUAUACACGAGAGGGGGACUAUAUAAGAAUCAAUAGAGCUGUCACUACCACAAACUACCCCGCGAUCUGGCAUAUAGGGUACAAUCGCAGAUAAAUACGGUAUAAGCACCACGCCUACACAAUAUCUAUCAUUUACCCAUGGAUCCGAUGGAUAAACGCUAUACGAUCCUAAACAUGUAUAUAAUUCCAAUCUAACUAAGCCAAGUAUAUAACUAUGAUAAACUAAGAACAAUAUAAUUGCGAAUAUAAACAAGUAGAGCAAAGUCAUAAUCAAUAUAUUGAAGUAGAACAAAGUCAUAUUCAUAAUAUCAAAGAACAAAGAUGAACAAUUGAAGAACAAGAGAGAAUUACCAAGAAUCCUCUUGACAGAUCUAGAAACCAAUCGAUGAUUGACUCCUUCUAGUUCUAAUCUAUGUAGCUAUGCUAAUCUAGAUAUCUAAUUGAUGUGGUAGCUCUAGGCUUGAUCAGAGGCUUCUUCUCCCUUGAUGAAUAAUGAAUUAGGGUUGAGAGGUGCCCUCCUCCAAUGGCCAGGGGGUCUGGUUAUAUAGUCCUUCCAAGUGAAUAUGGGUCCUCGGAUCAAAACGACAUUGAUUGAAUGAUUAUCCUUGAUCCUUUAGGUCGGUGGAGCAUGAUUUGCGAGAUUGGUCGUGAUUGGUCCUUAGACCAAGGCGGGCGCCCAAGGGGGGAGGGCGAGCGCCCUGCCCUCGAGCCCGUCCGGUCUCCCGUUCGUUCCAGUGGCUUCUGGACUCUUCUAGAUGUAAGAUAAUUGCGCGGCACGUUAAUAUCUCUAUGUAAACCCGACGUGUGGGCCUUUCUUCCGUAUUUCCUGAUAACCCCCUGCAGAAAUAGACAAACACCAAAACUAGUGGAAUUCUGUCAGAUAAAACCCUAAGUCUGGAUGUUGAUUUCAUUUGGAUCAUUUUCUUUGUUUAUUUGAGAAUCAAAAUUGAUACUUAAGGACCGUCAACAGUUGGUCAGGUCAGUUACCUAUUCAGCAUAUAGUUCAGCAGAACUAUCAAGUUGCAGGAAUUCAGCAAGGUCAUAUACAAGCUGGCUUCUAGAAUUAGACAUCAGUAGCUCAACCAAUGAACCCUGUCCAGCAGGUUGGUGGGCCACAAGCUGUGGCAAAUAUGCCGGUUGCUGGAGAUCGUGUGCCACAAAGACACAUGGAAGUAUAUCAGCAGGUGCCUCCUAUAGAAAUUCAGCUAGUUCAUCAGUAGGAGGCUGAUGCUUAUUGGGCUAAUAAGAUAGCAGAAAUCAUGAGAGAUCAACUUGGGAUAAAACCCAAAGUUAGCACUUAUUCUUAUCGGACUCCAUAUCCUCCAACAUAUGAUUUGAUUCCUCUCCCAAAUUGGUACAAGGUACCAGAUUUCACCAAAUUCUCUGGACAUGAUGACAUAUCAACAAUGGAGCAUGUCAAUCGCUUCAUUAUUCAAUGUGGAGAGCCAGCUAGCAGAGAUGAAUUAAGAGUUCGAUUAUUUUCAUCAUCUUUGUCUGGAUCGGCAUUCAUGUGGUUCAUAUCAUUGCCACCAAAUUCUAUUAUUAAUUGGGCUGAUCUAGAGAAACAAUUCCAUAAGUACUUCUUUGAUGGCGUCCAUGAAAAGAAGCUUACUGAUUUAAUAAAAUUAAGGCAACGUAAUGAUGAAUCGGUAGAAAGCUUUGUGCAGAGGCUACAAGAUGUGAACAACAAGUGCUACAGCCUGGUGCUGGAUGAUUGGCGGCUUGCUGAUUUGGCUUUUCAAGGGUUAUUGCCACAUCUCAAGGACAAGUAUGCUUCUCAGGAGUUUGAAAGCCUAAGUCAUCUUGUACAAAGGAUCUCUGACUAGGACACUAGGGUUUUUGAGCCUAGAAAGAAUUGGAGAAAAAAGGUGUCAUUUGUCGAUGAGGUAGAAGACUGAUUCUGAUGACGAACCAGUUAUCGGCUUGGCUGAGUGGGUUAAGAAUAAAAGGCCGAUAUCUUGUCCUUUUGGUCAAAAAGAACUAGAGAAGUUCACCUUUGACAUCAACAAAGCCGAUAGGAUAUUUGAUCUUUUCCUUCAAGAUGGUCAAAUUAAGCUAUCACCCAAUCAUGUGAUUCCAUCGGUAGAAGAAUUGAAGAAGAUCAAGUACUGCAAAUGGCACAAUGCGACUUCACACAGUACAAAUGAGUGCAAGGUGUUCAGGCAGCAGUUGCAAUCAGCUAUCGAGUUUGGGAGAAUUAAGUUUGACAACUCUAAGACCCAAAAGCCGAUGAAAAUCGAUCAACAUCCUUUCCCAGCAAAUAUGUUGGAUGCCAAGGGUAAGAUCAAGGUGCUGACAUCCGAGGCUGCUGAGAACAACGCAUCGGUGGAUCCCCAACAUCGGAUAACUACCGAUGACACAAAAGGCAAGGGUUUGCUGGAAGAGAGUGGUAGUUCUAAGAAACCUCCUCGACUUGGCAUUGUGAUCACUCAUCGACGGAAAUAGGGAGGAAGGCAGCAGGAGGAUUUGAUUCGGCGUGAGGACCGAUAUCGACAACAGCGAGAAGAGAAACAUCGGGAAGAGUGGCAACGGCAUUAACUGUUGAAAAUUGCCCUGAGUGCAACAGUUACUAUAGAGCCAAUCGGCUAGCAAGGAGGUUUUAGCCUGGUAAUCGGGGUUUGUCUAUCAAUGAGCCGAUCAGAGGCAGAGCAUAAGUACAUGAUCGGCUGGGGGGGGCAGACUCAGUGUACAUGAAAAGCUUGGUAAACACGCUGGCUAUUUUCUAAGGAAUCAAGAUGAGCUUGAAGAGAUGGCAAACGCUAGAAUUCUCGAUGAAGAAAUAUUCUACAGGGACCCUAAUAUGCGUCAUGUAGAAUCAACUAAGACCCAUUAUCAGCAGGUCUAGAAAACUAAACUUCCCCAAUGGUGCCCUGAGGGUCUGACAAGGACACAGAAGAGAAGGAUGCAGCGUGAGCGUCAGGGAGACCUAUACAGAGAGGAAAGCUCUUCCAAUGAGAGGCCCGACGAUCGGCAGUGGCAGUUGAAACACAAGGGUAUGGGCCCAUUGGCAGAUAUUAAUAUGGUAUUUAUGUUGCCAAUGGAGUUUCUAGCGCCUUCCGAUAAUGAGGAAGAAGUUGGUCUCUCCGAUCAAGUAGCUCAGUUGGCACUAGAUCCAAUGAUGGCUAUUUUUGAAAAACCUACCAAUUGUGAAAGACAUCAUCUCAAAGCUUUGUUUGUUAAGGGCAGAGUUGAUGGGCAACCAAUAUCUAAGAUACUCAUCGAUGGGGGAGCUGCAAUUAAUAUUAUGCCCUAUGUGAUGUAUUGGAAACUUGGCAAAGGGGAUCAAGACUUGACCAAAACCGAUAUGAUGCUGAAGGAUUUCGAAGGCAAUGUGUCACCAGCUGUUAAUGCAAAAACUAGUCUGCAAACACAAAGGGCUAAUACCCGAUCCAAACGUUAAGGCGUGCCAGCCGAUUUGACCUUACUAUCGGCAAAGGUGAUAACUCGAAUACUUUAGUCCUGACAACAGCGAUACGCCCGGAUGUCACGGCUAAGAGGUACUCACGCGGAACUUGAGGAUACGCCGAGCUUGAGUCGACGAAUUCCUAAGAACUCGUAACAAAAAUAAAACAUAUGAUGAAGUCGUCGAAAAGUAAAUGCUGGAAUAUGAGUAAAAAACGUGUGUUUGAUUGAUUGAUAGAUAUCCUGAUUACAAGGUCUUAGGGCUUAUAUUUAUACCCUGCUCAAAGAGCUACGACCAGACACAAUUAGAAUUCGAAUUCCAAAUUACACGGAACCCGUAUACAAAACGAUACGAAUAACAUAAGGAAAUAAUAAAACCAUCCCUCGUGACAAACCGAAAUUCCUCCACAUGACAACUGGCAGCUUCCGGACUCCUCCUUCGCGUCAUCGGCAAUCCCCUUGCCAUAGUCAUCGGCAGACCCUUUUACUUGGUCAUCGGCACCAUAUUACUGUCUGAGGACUUAGUCACAUUCAACCUUUCCCUCAUCGGCAACCAUCCUUACCAGCAACCCGCAUCGUACUGCCACCCUGUCCUGCCAUCCUGGACCCGUGCUCAAAAAUGGUGUCAACACAUGCCCCCCAGUUUCGGAGUAUAAAACUAUUAAUGCUCCGAAAUUCUCUGCAGUAAUGAUGUCUUCUCCGCAAUUAAUGCUCCUAAUCUGGUAACCGACAACCUCAAUCUGGGCAACUCUGAUCCUAAUCCUCCGCAGAUCCCUCGAAAUCCACAACUUCCCAAACGGGCAUCUCUCUUAGUCGUACAUCGGCAACAAUACCGUUACAAAGAUCUGCCGAUGCUCUGCCCAGGAUAUUCGCAAAAACGGUUACUUCCCCUCUAUCCGCCCAUCGGCAGGACGACCGUUAUAGAAUAUCACCGAUGGACCGACCAGGAGAUCACGCACAGUAAAAUAUCUUUAGAUAAUGACCGCUUCCUGUCAAAUCACCUGCACAAUCCCUGGAUUAUCGUGCGAACAGUUACCAUAUCCACUUGAGUACCCUCGGGUUUCUCGGAUGCGGCAAAGAAAUAAGUCAGAUUUGCCCUUGUCCAUCUUGCCCUAUAAAUAGUUCCUUCUUGGGUACUCUUCCCCCAUUACAUCAUUCUGCCAUCCAACUUCACUUUUCCAGCGGCGGCGCCAUUCUCAAUCCUCAAGAUCUCCGACAAGCAUUCUUCUUCAUCAACUCCGGCGUCUUCCAGCGUCCCCUUCACGACAAGAUGGCCGUUGGCUUCGUCGUCCCUGAGGUCAGACUUCCAUCUCAUCUGCUGUACCUUUUUCCUGCAUUCCUGUUCAUCUGCGAUUUACCUUACCGAAUAUUUUCCUUCUCCUUUUUCUUUGUAUCUUUAUUCCCCAAAACACCAGGAGUUAUCCAACAAAAUUGUCAUUCCUACCGAUCAACCACAUCUUCAAUGCCUCGGCCCUCUAGGGGAUCCAGAUCCAACCGACCUUAUCAACGCAGAAACCAACAGGAUUCCCUUUAGAGCUGAAAACUUUGCUCUAGAUCUAUGGAAGGACACCUUUCGCUCUUGGCCUAGCCCUACUGUAGGGUGGAAAGACUGGUUCUUAAGGGUCAGCAACUCUUAUGAAGUUCAAUGGGGUGAGAGGAAAUUAGCUCAAUGCAUUAGGCUGUCCAUUGCCGAUAUGCACAGGAACGAGUCAUUGCUGAUAGCCGCAUCUUACUUUUGGUCAGACACUCUCAACGCUUUUGUUUUUGGCCACGGCCCUGCUUCUCCUACCCUUGCCGAUGUAGCCAUGCUUACUGGGUUAGACAUAUCUUCUGCCGAUAGCACCCACUUUUUUGAUACCGCCCCCAGUGCCAAAGUGGAGACUCGCGCUAUCGGCGGCUGGUCAGGGUACAUCCAGAAGUACCGCGGGAGAGGGCCUGUCACCAUAAAGGAACAAACCACUUUUCUGAACAUGUGGCUAGACAAGUUUGUAUUCUGUGGUCGAUCGGCAGGACCGACUUCUGUCUAUCUAUCGGCAGCAGAAAGACUGGCUAGCGGUGGUCAAUUUCCUCUCGGCCGUUAUUUGCUCGGCGCUGUUUAUCACCUUCUUCAUCAGGUAGUCCAGAAACUCCUGCUCGGCCAACCUAUCGGCAACUUGGGAGGUCCUUGGUGGUUUAUUAAUAUGUGGCUCAAUCUGCACCUGCACAAGCGCCUCGAUCUCAACUUGUUCUCUCAGCACUUCCCAAGAGAUAUAGCCGAGAACCAUGUGUUGGGUGAAGAGGAAUCGGCAACACGUGCCCCCCUGAACUUUGGCGAAGCUGUUAUAGUUUUACCCGGUUCAGGGAGCACUCCGGAUCAGAUCGGCCGAUUCUUCGAAACGCUGUAUGAGGGUCUGGCCAGAGAUGAACGACCAUGGCUAGCUUAUGACGACCCAGAUAGCAUGCUCCCUCUGACCUUCAAUCCGUUCGACGAAGCUCUUGAUAGGGACAAUGAGGUGAUGAUGGCAAUCGUGACUCCCAGAGCCAUACCAGUGAACUUCUUCGGCAGCACGAAAACCUCUCCCCAAACCUAUGAAUUUUAUAAUCCAUCGGCAUUAGCUCGCCAGCUAGCUUUCGGCCAAUUGCCGAUCGCACUUCCUUAUGCUGAUGUAAUAAAGCCCAGAGAACCCAUCGCUAACCUCCUCGAGUGGACUCGAGUAGCCCAGCUACCACCAAAUGCCGAUACAGAUGUAGAUCUGUCAGAAUGGGUUCCAGCCGCCUUUAUCACUCAGGCAUACAAGCUAUGGUGGGCAGAAUGGAAAGAGAAUCUGUUCUGCAGAUCAGCCCUCUCAUACCGCGGCAUGAUCGACCCCGAAUUUGAAGUCCCUGAUGACACUGUAAGUAUUUUAAACCGAUGUCUCAUUUUCCAAUACUAUUCCCAUCGGUAACUUACCCCUGUAUUCUUUUUGCAGAUUGACAACACCCCCCCAUCGGUUAGCAGGAGUGGCAAGCCGAUCGACUUAUUCCCAUCAGGCCCGAUCUCCUCAAUCGGCCACAAUGCUCCCACUCUGGCCUCCAUCGUGCACCGGGGUGCGCGUCUCAAGAAAGUUACCACCAGGAAAACUCAGACAUCACCAACGGUAACUGCUUCCACUCUGGCGCAAGCUUUCAAGGCAAUCUGUUAAAACCCCUUUUUAUUUAUGCUGACUAUCUUUAUAUCGGUUAUCUGUGCUCAUAAACUCUUUAUCGUUGUUGCAGCAAACUGGUGCAUCGGCAAAAGCCAAACGCCAAGGUGCCGAUCCCCCCCAGUCUAGCCAGCCAAAGAGGAAAGGCGUCCAAGGUGCUAAGACUGGAACAAAGCGUCAGAAAGUGGCAACUCCUCCUCCUCCUCCGGUGUCUCCAAUCCCGGUGGAAUCUUCCCCUUCUCCUCCAGAAGUCCAGGCACAGCAAGCACCAUCUCCUCAAUCAAUACAGGAAGCACCACAGAUGGAAGAACCUCAGCAAGAAGAACCUCAAACGGCAGGUACGUCAGCUGACGUAGGUGAACAAACAACUGGCCCGGCAGGUCCAGUUAUAUCAUCGGCGGUUUCCUCAAUUCAAACAACUGUUGUUCCUCUUCCGGGUAACAUAUCCCAACAAUACUCCUACCGAUAAACUUAUUUUCAUUUAUUCUUAUAAUCCUUCCUGUCUUCUUUCAGGCGAUAUCGUUCUAUCGGCAACAUUUGCCGAUCAACCUGCAGGUCCAUCGGCCUCUCUGAGUCAAAGGCAGGAAAUCGCCUUGAAGCAAGUAAGUCAUCCACUUUUCCAUCGGUAUCAUCUGCCGAAGUUUUGACCAUAAAAUUGACCUAUUUCAUUUUCAUUUUCAGGAACAAGAUUCUCCCGACAGCUUGUUCUCCUUCGCUAUUGAUAUCUUCGAAGAAGAAGGCGAGGAAGCAAGCUCCUCUCGGGCAGUUGGAAUUGUAUCGGCAGAAACCAGAGCUAGGCUGGAGGAGCUAUCGGCCAUACUUCAUCAAGACACAACUCAACUGGUCGACGAUUCUGACCCAGCCAAGGCCCUGUUCAAGACUCUUAGAGGCCAAAUUCCUGCCGAUGCCGAAGAAGCACUCUUCCACGCUGCACAUCUAGAAAGCCGCCAGCUACAGUACCAGAGAGCUACUCGACGCCUUGCCGACAGAGCUGCUCAAACCCAGCUCUCUGAGGAGAUGAUGAAAGAAAAACUCUUAGCCGAUGAGAAACAUAAGAACAUCGGCAUCUUAAAGUCCUCAGGUGAUGCACUGAAGCAGAAAAUGUCUGAUCUAUCGGCAAAAAGAGAAGCUCUGCUGGCUGAACUCAAGCAAGUAGAAGACGCCCUGUCCCAAGCCCAGCAAGAAGAUAGUCAACUGCCGGAGACCAUCAAGCAUCUUGAACAGGAACGAAACGUCCAUGGUCGUAAAGCGCUGCAACUGAAGAGGAAGCUGAAGCUGAUUGAAGGUUCUGCCGAUGACGAUAUCAAAGAGAUAGAGACAGCCAACCAGAUUCGGCUGCGCGCCAUAUCCGCAAUCCAAGCGCUGCUGAACAUCUGAAGCUUUCAUCGGCGACACACCUUUGUUUCUCCGCUUUUAGCUUUUAGUCUAGCCGAUAAGACUGUUAUCGGCAUCUUUUGAAACAUUAAGUCUGCCCUUGAACAUUUAAAUUCAGCCGAUAGGAGUGUUAUCGGCACUUAACCUUUUAUGCAUCGAUCCAUAUGCUGGGGUAGUACUUCUUCAAAUAUUGGCCAUUUAACGCUCUGGGAAAUUCAACUCCUUCGAGAGUUUCUAGAAUAUAGGCAUUACCAGGAGCUGAGCGUUUUAUCCGAUAAGGACCUUCCCAAUUAGGAGACCACUUCCCAAACUUUGAACUUUUAGUCCCGACUGGCAAAAUCAACUUCCAUACCAAAUCCCCAUCGGCAAACUCCUUAGCCUUCACUUUUUUGUCAUACCAUCUGGCAACUCUCUUCUUAUUUUCUUCUAUACUCAUUAAAGCCUUUAACCGAUGCCCUGCUAAAUCAUCUAACUCAUCGGUCAUUAAAGUGGUAUAAUCAUCGGCAGCCAAUUGAUCUUGAAAAGAUAAUCGCCUAGAUCCAGCCUUAAUCUCCCAAGGCAAAACUGCAUCAUGUCCAUACACCAAUUGAUAAGGUGACACCUUGGUUGAUCCAUGACAAGCCAUCCGAUAAGACCACAGUGCUUCAUUCAACAAUGUAUGCCACCGCCUAGGAUUUUCUUCAAUCUUUCGUUUAAUAAGCUUGAUAAUUCCCUUGUUAGACGCUUCGGCCUGCCCAUUGGCUUGAGCAUAGUAAGGAGAAGAAUUCAACACUUUAAUUCCCAUACCGAUUGCGAAUUCAUCGAACUCCCCCGACGUGAACAUGGUGCCCUGGUCGGUAGUAAUCGUUUGGGGAAUCCCAAAUCGGUAAAUAAUAUGCUCCUUCACAAAAUCAAUCAUAUUGGCCGAUGUGACUUUCUUCAAAGGAAUAGCUUCGACCCACUUGGUGAAAUAGUCAGUGGCAACUAGAAUGAAUUUAUGCCCUUUGCUAGAUGGUGGAUAAAUCUGGCCGAUCAGAUCGAUGGCCCACCCCCGGAACGGCCAAGGUUUUAUUAUAGGAUUCAUAGCCGAUGCGGGUGCUCUCUGGAUAUUACCGAACUUUUGACAACAUUGACAUCCCUUGAAAUAUUUAAAACAAUCUUCAAGUAUGGUUGGCCAAAAAUAUCCAUUCCUUCGAAUCAUCCACUUCAUCUUAAAAGCUGACUGAUGCGCUCCACACACUCCUUCAUGGAUUUCUCCCAUCAAACUUCUGGCUUCAUCAUCACCCAAGCAUCGGAGAAGAAUUCCGUCGAUAGUUCGAUAAUACAAUUCAUUUUCAAGGAGCACAUACUUGGUUGCUUGAAAUCGAACCCGUCUUUCAACCUUUUUGGAUGGAUCUUUUAGAUAAUCAAUAAUUUCUUCCCUCCAAUCACCGGCACUGACUACCGAUGUCGCAUUAAUCAUUGGCUGAUAUCCCGAGGCAUGCUGGGCUAACCGAUUAGCGUCUUCAUUAUGCAAUCGGGGAAUAUGCUCCAAUCGGAAGUUCUUGAAUUCCUUUAUCAGUUGUAUACUUCUCUCGAAAUAGGUCAUGAGAACUUCACUCCGGCAUUCAUAGCUUCCGGUCAAUUGAUUUAUAACCAACAUAGAAUCUCCGAAUACUUCAACAGCAUCAGCACGAACUUCUCUUAACAACUCCAAUCCCCUGAUCAGAGCUUGAUACUCAGCCUGAUUAUUUGUUGAUGUAGCAACAAUCGGCAAGGAAAAUUCAUACUUCCUCCCCUUGGGAGAAACUAAUACAAUGCCGAUUCCUGCUCCCCGGUCACAGGUAGAUCCAUCAAAGAAGAGCGUCCAGGGUGCAAUUUCCAAGGUUUCCACUAGACCGCAAUGCUGAGUCACAAAAUCGGCCAUAACCUGCCCUUUGACCGCCUUAGCCGAUUCGUAACGCAAAUCGAACUCCGACAGCGCCAAAAUCCAUUUACCGAUCCUACCACUCAUAAUCGGCAUAGAUGGCAUGUAUCGGACCACGUCAUCUUUGCAAACAACAGCACAUUCGGCCGACAACAGGUAAUGUCUUAGCUUGAUACAUGAAAAAUAUAAGCAUAAGCACAGCUUCUCGAUGGCCGAAUACCUGGUUUCAGCAUCAAUUAACCUCCUACUCAAAUAAUAAAUUACCCUCUCUUUCCCUUCAAAUUCUUGAACCAAAGCUGAACCGAUAACCGAUCCAUCGGUAGAUAAAUAUAAUUUGAAGGGUUUCCCUUGUUGAGGUGGAACUAAAACUGGAGGGUUUACUAGAUACCUUUUGAUUUCAUCUAGAGCCAACUGCUGUUCUUUUCCCCAAACAAACUCCUGAUCGGCUUUCAAUUUAAGAAGAGGACUGAAAGCACGAAUUCUCCCAGAUAAAUUCGAUAUAAAUCUUCUGAUAAAAUUCACUUUGCCGAUCAAAGAUUGGAGCUCGGUUUUAUUGGUAGGGGCCACUAUUUUAUUGAUAGCAUCAAUAGAUCUUCGACUAAUUUCAAUACCCCUCUGAUGUACCAUGAAACCAAGAAACUGCCCUGCCGAUACACCAAAUGCACACUUGUUGGGAUUCAUCUUCAAUCCAUGCUUCCUUGUGCACUCCAACACUCUUCGUAAAUCGGCAAGAUGCUUUGAGAAAUCUCCAGACUUGACCACCACAUCAUCAAUAUAAAUUUCUACGAUCUUGCCGAUGAACUCAUGAAAUAUAAAAUUCAUAGCCCUUUGAUAAGUAGCACCGGCAUUUCUUAACCCAAAAGUCAUGACUAUCCAUUCAAAUAGUCCAACAUGACCAGGACACCUGAAUGCGGUUUUUGGAAUAUCCUCUUCUGCCAUGAAUAUUUGAUUGUAACCCGCAUUACCAUCCAUGAAGCUGAUGACCCGAUGGCCAGCCGCAGCAUCAACCAGUAGAUCGGCGACAGGCAUUGGAUAUCCAUCCAUCGGCGUAGCUUUAUUGAGAUUCCUGAAAUCAAUGCACACCCGAAGCUUCCCGUUCUUCUUGUAAACCGGGACGACAUUGGAAAUCCAUUCAGCAUACCGACACUGCCGAAUAAACUUAGCUUCAAUAAGUUUAGUGAUUUCGGCCUUAAUAUCAGGUAGAAUGUUAGGAUUACAUCGGCGGGCUGGUUGCUGAUGUGGCCGAAAUCCAGACUUAAUGGGUAACCGAUGUUCAACAAUUGAUCGGUCUAAACCAGGCAUCUCUGUAUAAUCCCAAGCAAAGCAAUCUUUAUAUUCCUUUAACAAACUAGUUAAUUGCCGUUUGCACUCAGGAUCUAGUUUAGCGCUAAUAAAAGUAGGCCUAGGCCUAUCACCACUACCUAUAUCUACUUCUACCAAAUCAUCGGCCGAUGUGAAUCCCUGGCCUAAUUUUCCAUCAUCGGCGAAUCUAUCCAUUAAAAACCGUCGUCAGAACCGACUGCUUGGAUCGGUGGAAUCUCAUAAUCGGCAACUUUGAGAAAAUCCUUCUCCCAAACUUCUCCUGAAAUGCACCUAGUCUUUUCAUAAGUAUCCGCUUCUGCCGAUGCGAUAACAUAAGAAGAAUCCCCUGGGACGAUCUCAAUCUUGUCACCUACCCACUGAACCAAGCACUGAUGCAUUGUAGAUGGGACACAACAAUUGGCAUGAAUCCAAUCUCCCCCCAAUAAUAAAUUGUAGGCACCUUUUCCGCUGAUCACGAAAAAGGUUGUCGGCAAGGUUUUGCUGCCGAUGGUCAACUCCGCACAUAUCGCCCCCUUGACCGGAGACACGUUUCCCUCGAAGUCUUUGAGCAUCAUAUCGGUCUUGGUCAAAUCUUGAUCCCCUUUCCCAAGCUUCCGAUAUACUGCAUAUGGCAUAAUAUUAAUAGCAGCCCCACCAUCAACUAGGAUCUUAGUCAUUGGCUGCCCAUCAACCCUUCCUUUGAGGAACAAAGCUUUAAGAUGCUGCCUCUCGUUAUCGGCAGGUUUCUCAAAGAUAGCCGUCAUUGGAUCCAGAGCCAACUGAGCUAUCUGAUCAGAAAAUCCCAACUCAUCGUCACUGGCCGGUGCAAGAAACUCCAUCGGCAACAUGAAUACCAUGUUGACGCCUGCCGAUGGACCUUCUUUCUUAGCGUCUGACGGCUGCCGACUCCCAGAGUUCUCUCCUUUAUUUAGCUCUUCCUGCCUUUCACGUUGCAAUCUCCUUUUCUGUGUCUUGGUUAAUCCUUGAGGGCACCAUGGAGGAAGUGGCCUUUGUCUUGCCGUCGGGCGUUGGUUCUCUCUUGACUCCAUGCGAUGCGUGUUAGUAUCCCUGCAAAAUAUGAAUUCAUCGGGAACCCACGCAUCAGCCAUUCUUUCAAGCUCCUCUUGGUUCCUGGGAAAAUACUGGACACGGUCACCGAGCCGAUCGUGAACGCUAAGCCUGCCCCCCAGCCGAUCAUGAACUGACGCCCUUCCUCUGAUCGGCCCAUUAAAUCGUCGUUCAUCAUCAUGAUAACGCCGAUCGUUCCUGUCGUACCGAUCAUAACCGUUGCAUUCAGGGCAGUCUCUGACAGUAGGAAGCUUGAUAUUUUCUUCCCAACAAUGGAUGAAGAAUGGGCAAUUCCAAUGAUCCCUGUGCCGAUUCCACUCCUGUCGGCGUCUCUCUUCUUCCCGUUGAUAAUCUUCCUGUUGGCGCCGGUACCGAUCUUCCCGUUGUUGCCAUCUCUCUCGAGGCCUUCUAUGAGUUAUGACAAUACCAGAUCGAGGAAUUCUUCCUGAGCUAGUUCCUUCCUGGACCAAGCCCUUACUUCUUGCAUCGGCGGUAGUAACUUGAUGCUGAGGAUCUACCGAUGCACUCUUCUCAGCUGUCUCCGACGUUAAGACCUUAGCCUUCCCCUUAGCAUCCAACAUGUUCGUCGGGAAAGGAUGUUGGUCUAUCUUCAUCGGCUUCUGGGCUUUGGAACUAUCAAACUUGAUUCUCCCUGACUCUAUGGCCGAUUGCAGCUGUUGUCUGAAUACUUUGCACUCAUUGGUAUCAUGUGAAGUUGCAUUAUGCCACUUGCAAUACCUCAUCCUCUUCAACUCUUCUGCCGACGGGAUCACGUGGUUAGGUGACAAUUUGAUUUGACCUUCCUGAAGUAGAAAGUCAAAUAUCCUAUCGGCCUUGGCGGUGUCAAAUGCAAACUUCUCUGGUUCCUUCUGCCCAAAAGGACAAGACAUCGGCUUCUUGUUUUUUACCCAUUCUGCCAAACCGAUUACUGGUUCUUCAUCGGAAUCUGAGCUUGUUGCUUCAUCAACAAAUGAGACUUUCUUAUUCCAUGCCCUCUUAGGCUCGAAAGGCUUGAUGUCUUGAUCGGAUAUCCUCUGCACCAAGUGACUUAAACUUUCAAACUCCUGAGAGGCAUACUUAUCCCUGAUGUGUGGCAACAAACCCUGGAAAGCCAAAUCGGCUAGCUGCCGAUCAUCCAGAACCAGGCUAUAGCAUUUAUUUUUGACCUCUCGUAUCCUCUGCACAAAUCCCUCAACCGACUCAUCAUUACGUUGCCUCAACUUGACCAAGUCGGUGAUCUUCUUCUCAUGAACCCCCGAGAAGAAGUAUCUGUGGAAUUGCUUCUCUAGAUCGGCCCAAGUAAUUACUGAAUUGGGAGGCAAUGAUAUGAACCAAGUAAAGGCCGAUCCAGACAAUGAUGAUGAAAAUAGACGAACCCUUAAUUCGUCCCUGUUACCAGCUUCUCCACAUUGAAUAAUGAACCUGUUGACAUGCUCCAUGGUUGACGUGUCGUCCUGUCCGGAAAACUUUGUAAAAUCUGGUACCUUGUACCGAUGUGGAAGCGGGAUCAAAUCAUACGCUGGAGGAUACGGUGUCCGGUAAGAAUAAGUGUUGACUUUGGGUUUUAUCCCAAAUUGUUCCUUCAUUACUUCAGCAAUCUUAUCGGCCCAAUAAGCAUCGGCAUCUUGCCGAUGAGGCGGCUGCGGAUCCGGCACUUGGUGGCGAACCUCCACGUGUCUGUUUGGGACAUGACCUGUAUGGAACAUCGUAUUGGUCACCUGUCCUCCAAUCUGCGGACUACCAAACUGCUGUCCACCGACUGGCUGUCCUCCGAGUUGCUGUCCAAAAUUCAUUGGCUGGUUGGACAUUCCCUGACCUUGGAACCCGGGAUAAACCUGCCCUUGCUGGAACCCCGUAGUCUGAUAACCCUGCUGGGGCGACUGUGGAAAGGCUUGCUGUCCAAGCCAUCCAUUAUUAGCGUUCAUCGGCAUAGGUGCUGCCGAUGAUUGGUAAUUGGGUAUCGUCGUUGAAUUGACAUACCCCGACUGGGCCAUAGGCCUCUGUUGCAUUAGCAUUGACUCUGCCGAUGCGUUGGGCAUCUGGAACAUUAGAUCUUGAGGAUUUCCAGUGUGAGGCCUUGCGGUAGUAGUUGUGGUAUACCGAGGACUCUGGUUCACCGGCACAUUGGAAGGUGCCGAUGUUAUAGGAGUUUUGCCCCUCAUGUCAGUUAUCUGUGAUGUUCCUGGAGUCAACUCUGGAGGCAUACCAUAACCCCACCAGUUGGGAGGAAGAGUUAACCCCGACAUUGCCGAUGCCAACAUAUCUGUUGUCAGUUUAUGCUGCCCAACUGAAAUUUGUGGGUUGGUUGCCAUCGGCAUAGAUAGUGCACCAGUAGUCCCCAAUGUACUUGGAGGGACGGCAGACUGUGCACUUGCACUCGUCAAGGCAACCGAUGGAGCCGUGACCUCUGGUGCCGUAGGUUGAUGAUGGGAAGGGCCCACAUAAUCCGGCGGGAUUUGUCCUUCCUUGAAGGUUCUUGCCACGGCGUUGAAAACCGUAUUAGACAGUACACCAGCUUGGUUAAUCAACGCUCGAUUGAUGGCAUUAUCAACCAUGUCUUGAAGCUUGCCAGGAUUGGCGUCAAAGGUGACCUGCCGUGGUGCCAGCAGUGCAUCUUUCUGGACCACUUCGCCGCUCCUGUUUAUGCUGAAAGACUUCAGGCAUUGCUGCUUGAACUCUUCCAUAGCUUGGGCAAUAGCUUGCUUCUGCUCAUCCUUGAGGUUAGCUUCCGUCACGGGGAUGACGUUGUCUUGAUCGAGGUUAGAGAUCGACAUGUUGAUCUUGAUCUUGAAUCUGUCCCACUGGGCGUGCCAGAAGAUGUGUUGAUGCAAAAACUAGUCUGCAAACACAAAGGGCUAAUACCCGAUCCAAACGUUAAGGCGUGCCAGCCGAUUUGACCUUACUAUCGGCAAAGGUGAUAACUCGAAUACUUUAGUCCUGACAACAGCGAUACGCCCGGAUGUCACGGCUAAGAGGUACUCACGCGGAACUUGAGGAUACGCCGAGCUUGAGUCGACGAAUUCCUAAGAACUCGUAACAAAAAGAAAACGUAUGACGAAGUCGUCGAAAAGUAAAUGCUGGAAUAUGAGUAAAAAACGUGUGUUUGAUUGAUUGAUAGAUAUCCUAAUUACAAGGUCUUAGGGCUUAUAUUUAUACCCUGCUCAAAGAGCUACGACCAGACACGAUUAGAAUUCGAAUUCCAAAUUACACGGAACCCGUAUACAAAACGAUACGAAUAACAUAAGGAAAUAAUAAAACCAUCCCUCGUGACAAACCGAAAUUCCUCCACAUGACAACUGGCAGCUUCCGGACUCCUCCUUCGCGUCAUCGGCAAUCCCCUUGCCAUAGUCAUCGGCAGACCCUUUUACUUGGUCAUCGGCACCAUAUUACUGUCUGAGGACUUAGUCACAUUCAACCUUUCCCUCAUCGGCAACCAUCCUUACCAGCAACCCGCAUCGUACUGCCACCCUGUCCUGCCAUCCUGGACCCGUGCUCAAAAAUGGUGUCAACACCAGCCAAAGGGGCAGUAUGCGUUGAGUUGACCAUCGGCAGCAAAACCUUGCCAAUGACGUUCUUUGUUAUCAAUGGUAAGGGUGCGUACAAUCUGCUUUUUGGAAGAAACUGGAUUCAUGUCAAUUGUUGUGUUCCUUCCACAAUGCAUCAAUGCCUCGCACAGUGGGUUGGGGAUAAGAUUGAGGUUGUCCCUGGUGAUUCCUCUUACAUCAUUGCAUCGGUAGAAUCAGAUAUUUAUGAGCAAACCAAAUGCAUAUCAGGAGAAGCUUGGGAGAAGGAGUUCCUCAGAGUUGCCGAUUAUGAAAUUCCACCGAUCCAAGCAGUCGGUUCUAAAGAGGAGUUUUAAUGGAUAGGUUUGCUGAUGAUGGAAAGUUAGGUCAGGGGUUCACAUCGGCUGGUGAUUUAGUAGAGGUAGAUAUUGGUAAUGGUGAUAGGCCAAGGCCUACUUUUAUUAGUGCUAAGUUAGAUUCCAAGUGUAAGCAGCAAUUGACCAAUUUGUUAAAGGAAUAUAAAGAUUGUUUUGCUUGGGAUUAUACUGAGAUGCCUGGAUUAGACCGAUCGAUAGUUGAACAUCGGUUACCUAUCAAGUUUGGAUUCUAGCCAUAUCAGCAGCCAGCAUGCCAAUGCAACCCUAAUAUACUUCCUGAUAUUAAGGCUGAAAUAACUAAAUUAAUUGAGGCAAAGUUUAUUUGGCAGUGUCGAUAUGCAGAGUGGAUUUCUAAUGUGGUUCCUAUCUAUAAGAAAAACAGGAAACUUCGUGUUUGUAUUGACUUCAGGAACCUCAACAAAGCUACACCAAUGGAUUGCUAUCCAAUGCCUGUUGCCAAUUUGUUGGUUGAUGCUGCAGCCGAACAUCGGAUUAUUAGCUUCAUGGAUGGUAAUGCAGGUUACAAUCAAAUAUUCAUGGCUGAGGAAGAUAUUCCCAAGACUGCUUUUAGAUGUCUAGGUCAUGUGGGGUUGUUUGAGUGGAUCGUCAUGACCUUCGGUUUUGAAAAAUGCCAGUGGUACUUAUUAGAGAGCAAUGAAUUUUAUUUUUCAUGAGUACAUCAGCACAUUAGUGGAAAUCUACAUUGAUAAUGUGGUGGUUAAGUCUAGGGAUAUUGCAAAACAUCUAGCUGAUCUACGAAAAAUACUAGAGUGCACGAGGAAGCAUGGAUUGAAGAUGAAUCCUAAUAAAUGUGCAUUUGGUGUAUCAGUGGGUCAAUUCUUGGGUUUCAUGGUGCAUCAAAGAGGUAUUGAAAUCAGUAGAAGGUCUAUCGAUGCAAUUAACAAGGUAGUUGCCCUCGCUGAUAAAACUGAACUGCAAUCUUUGAUCGGCGAGAUUAAUUUCAUCAGAAGGUUCAUAUCUAAUCUAUCAGGCAAGAUCAAGGCUUUCAGUCCGUUGCUUAAAUUGAAGGCCGAUCAGGAAUUUGUAUGGGGAGUUGAGCAGCAGUUGGCCUUAGAUGAAAUUAAGAAAUACCUAACAAACCCUCCAGUGCUAGUUCCACCUCAACACGGAAAACCCUUCAGGUUGUAUUUGUCGACUGAUGAUACUGUUAUUGGUUCAGCUCUUAUUCAAGGGUUUGAAGGGAAAGAACAUGUUAUUUAUUAUUUGAGCAGAAGAUUGGUGGAUGCUGAGACAAGGUAUUUGGCCAUUGAAAAACUAUGCUUAUGUUUAUACUUUUCUUGCAUUAAAUUAAGGCAUUAUCUGCUAUCGGCCAAAUGUACUGUCGUAUGCAAGGAUGAGGUGGUUAAAUAUAUGUUGUUGAUGCCGAUAUUGAGUGGUAGAAUUGGCAAAUGGAUUUUAGCGUUGUCAGAAUUUGACCUACGUUACGAAUCGGCUAAGGCAGUUAAAGGGCAGGUUAUGACUGAUUUUGUCACUCGGCAUUGCAACAUAGUGGAUUCUCUGGAAGUUGCUCCUUGGACACUUUUCUUCGAUGGGUCUGCAUGUGGUGAAGGAGCAGGUAUCGGCAUUGUGUUGGUUUCACCUCAAGGAAGGAAGUAUGAGUUUUCAUUGCCAAUUGUUGCUACAUUGACAAACAAUCAGGCUGAGUAUCAAGCUUUGAUAAAAGGGUUGGAAUUACUAAGAGAGGCAUGUGCCGAUGCUGUUGAGGUCUUCGGUGACUCUAUGCUGGUUAUAAAUCAAAUUGGCUGGGAUUUAUGAAUGCCCAAGUGAAGUUUUGAUCUCAUAUUAUGAGCAAUGUUUUCAAUUGUUGAAGGAGUUUAAAGAUUUUCGUCUUGAACAUAUUCCUCGAUUGCAUAAUGAAGAAGCUAAUUGGCUUGCUCAGCAUGCUUCAGUGUAUCAGCCUAUCCAGGAGGUGCUAACAUCGGUAGUUGAUGCCGAUGACUGGAGAACGGAAGUUGUUGAUUACUUAAGGGAUCCAUCCAAGAAGGUUGAAAGACGUAUAAGAUUUCAAGCUACUAAGUAUGUGCUCCUCGAUGAUGAAUUAUAUUAUCGAACUAUAGAUGGAGUUUCCCUCAGAUGUCUUAGCGGUGAUGAAUCGAAAAGCUUGGUGGGUGAGAUUCAUGAAGGAGUGUGGGGGCACAUCAAUCGGCUUUCAAGAUGAAAUGGAUGAUCAGAAGGAAUGGAUACUAUUGGCCGACUAUUCUUGAAGAUUGCUUUAAAUAUUUUAAAGGGUGUCAGGGGUGUCAAAAGUUCGGCAAUAUUCAAAGAGCGCCUGCAUCGGCCAUGAAUCCUAUAGUUAAACCUUGGCCAUUCCAAGGAUGGGCUAUCGAUCUCAUCGGUCAAAUUUAUCCACCAUCGAGCAAAGGGCAUAAAUUUAUACUUGUUGCUACCGAUUAUUUCACAAAGUGGGUUGAAGCGAUCCCUUUGAGAAAGGUAACAUCGGCCAAUAUGAUCAAUUUUGUGAAAGAACAUAUUGUUUACCGAUUUGGUAUUCCUCAAACUAUCACUACCGAUCAGGGUACUAUGUUUACAUAGGGACAAUUUGAUGAGUUUGCUAUCGGUAUGUGGAUUAAGGUUUUGAAUUAUUCUCCUUAUUAUGCUCAAGCUAACAGUUAGGCCGAGGCUUCUAACAAAGGAAUCAUCAAACUCAUUAAUCACAAAAUUGAGGAAAACCCUAGGCGGUGGCACACAGUAUUGAAUGAGGCUCUGUGGUCAUAUCGGAUGGCAUGUCAUGGUGCAAUCUGUUGAUGCAAAAGCUGAUAUGCAAACACAAAGGGCUAAUACCCGAUUCAAACGUUAAGGCGUGCCAGCCGAUAUGACCUUACAACCGACAAAGGUGGUAACUCGAACACUUUGGUCCCGACAACAGCGAUGUGCCCAGAUGUCACGGCCAAGAGGUGCUCACGUGGAACUCGAGAAUUCAUCGAGAUUGGCUCGAAGAAUCCUUAAGAACUCAUAGUAAAAGAAAAUAUGAUGAAGUCGUCGAAAAGUAGAUGCUAGAAUAUGUGUAAAAACUUGUGUUUGAUUGAUUGAUAGAUAUAUCAUUACAUUGCUACGGGGUUUACAUUUAUACCCUAUUCAAAGAGCUACAACCAGACACGGCUAGAACUCGAAUUCUAAAUUAAACAGAAUCCGUAUACAAAACAAACUAUAAUAACCAUGGAAAGCAUUAAAUUAUCCUCCACAACCGAUCGGUACACCGCCAUGAGUCAAUCGGCAACCCCUGCGCCUUUCUUCAUAACCAUCGGCAGACCACCUUUCACAGCCCAUCGACAACCAUCAACACUAGUCAUCGGCAUAAACCCAUCACCACUCCUAGACUUGGUCAUGUUCUGUCGUUUUCCCAUCGGCACCAACCCUCAUCGGCAACUCUUCUGUAGACUAGUCACCACUUGUCCGCCUGCCGAUCUACACCUCAUUAACUCCAGGUACGCAUCCAAUGAUACGUGUCCAAAAAUGGUGUCAACACAUGCCCCCCAAUUUCGGAGUAUAAAAUCAUUAAUGCUCCGAAAUUCUCCUCAGUAAUGAUGCCUUUCCGCAAUUACUCCCUCCGAUCGGUAAUUAAUUACCAAAUCUAAACAACCUCAGCCCGGUUCUCCUGCACGCUCCUCGAAUCUCUCAACUUCUCGAACCGAACCUUCCCAGAAUACGUCCUUCGGCAACAUUUUCGUUAGAUAAGACUGCCGAUGAACCGAUCAGGAGAUCUUGCACAGUAAAAUAUCUCCAAAAUUACGACCGCUUGCUGUCAAAUCACCUGCGCAAUCCCUUGAUUACCAUGCGAACAGUUACCAUAUCCACCUGAACACCCUCGGAUUUCUCGGAUGCGACGAAGAGAUAAGUCAGAUUUGCCCUUGCCCUCUUUGUCCUAUAAAUACUUCCUUCUCCGGUACUCUUCUUCCAUCCUGUCAUUCUAUAGCCUCAUACCCACCUUUCUGGCGGCGGCACUGCUCAAGAACUUCAAGAACUCCGGUCAAGGAUCUCCUCCGACAAUAUUCCAAGUCUUUGAGUUCUUCCUCUCUUUGAGAAGAAAUGGCCAUCAACUUCGUCGUCCCUGAGGUCAACUCAACACCCCCUUUCUUCUUUAUACUUUUGUUGUACUCCUAUUCAUCCACGAAUCUAUUUACUGAGUACGUUUUUUCUUCUUUGUUUCCUUUUCUGUUCUUCCAACUUCAAACCUUUUAGGAGUUGGCUGAUAAGAUUGUAAUCCCUACCGAUCAACCUCACUUCCAGUGUCUUGGUCCAUUGGGAAAUCCAGAUCCUACCGAUUUAAUAAAUGCAUAGACAAAUAGGAUCCCCUUUAGGGCUGAAAACUUCUCUUUAGAUCUGUGGAAAGAUACUUUUCGUUCUUGGCCCAGUCCUACUAAGGGGUGGAAAGACUGGUUCCUGAGAAUCGGCAACUCGAAGUCCAAUGGGGUGAGCGGAAACUAGACCAAUGCAUCAGGCUAUCCAUUGCCGAUAUGGAGAGGAACGAGUCACUGUUGAUAGUGGCUUCAUACUUUUGGUUAGACACCCUUAAUGCCUUUGUAUUUGGACACGACCCUGCUUCUCCCACUCUUGCCGAUGUGUUCAUGCUCACCGGUCUAGAUAUAUCAACUGCCGAUAAUAGUCAUUUGUUCGAUAACAAGCCUAGCUCUAAGGUGGAAACUCGCAGCAUCGGCGGUUGGUUUGGGUACAUUCAGAAGUACCAAAAAUAGGAUCAGUUGGGGAAUGGGAACACACCAUUUUUCUGAAUAUGUGGCUAGAUAAGUUCAUAUUUUGCGACCGAUCGGCUGGACCAACUUCUGUUUAUCUAUCGACAGCAGAAAAAUUAGCCAGCGGUGGUCGUUUUCCCCUUGGCCGAUACUUGUUAGGCUCUACUUAUCAUCUUCUUCAUCAAGUGCCCGAGAAGCUUCUGCUAGGCCAACCCAUCGGCAACUUAGGAGGACCUUGGUGGUUUAUCAACAUGUGGCUCAGCGUUCACAUGCAUAAGCGCCUCAGAUUCAACCUCUUUUCACAGCGCUUUCCCGGAGACAUAGCCGAAGAUUAUGAAUUGGAUGAUGAAGAAUCGGCAACUCGCUCCCCUUUGAACUAUGGUGAGGCCGCCAUUGUCUUACCUGGCACUGGUGGGAAUGAAGACCAGGUUAGCCGAUUCUUCCACACUCUCUAUGAAGGUCUGACAAAGACAAGCGGGCAUGGAUGCCUUAUGAGGAUCCAGAAACCAGAUUCCCACUUACUUUCCACCCUUUUGAUGAUGCCCUCAACAAGGACCAUGAUCUGAUGAUGGCAAUUAUUACUCCGAGAGCUAUACAAGUGAAUAUCUUUGGCAGUGGGAAAGCUUCCAACCCCACCUAUGAGUUCUAUAAUCCAUCGGUACUGGCUCAUCAACUUGCCUUUGGACAGCUGCCGAUCGCGCUCUGUUAUGCCGAUGUGGUGAAGCCAAGGGAAACCAUAACCAGUGGUCUUGAGUGGAUCAGAAUAGCUCAGCUUCAGCCAAAUGCCGAUACGUUGGAUAUUGAUCUAUCGGCAUGGGUCCCAGCCCUUUUCAUCACUCAAAUGUACAAGCAGUGGUGGGAAGAGUGGAAAGAGCAUCUGUUCUGCAUAUCGGCCCUCACAUACCGCGGCAUGAUCAACUCCAAGUAUAAAGUCCCCGAUGACAUUGUAAGUCUUCAAUACCUCAGUCCUUUUAUUGCUUUUAUUUACAUCGGUAACUCACUUCCUCCUUUUUGAACAGGUCGACAACCCGCCAUCGACGGUCAGCAGAAGCGGACAGCCGAUCGAGCUCCUUCCAUGAGGCCCAAUUUCUCUCAUCGGAAACAACGCACCAACCCUGGCAGCUCUAAUGCACCGAAAUGUGCGUUUUAAGAAGACAACCACCAGACGACUGAAAACAUCUCCAACAGUUGUCGCUGCUACCUUGGCACAAGCUUUCAAGGUAAACCUUUGAUUUCCUUAAUUUAUACCAAUUCCAUUCCAUACUUACACAAUCUUUCUAGGAUACAUCGGCUGCUAUGGGAACCUCAUCGGUAACUUCUAUCUUUUAGCAAAAUUCUUAUUAGCAUCCUUUUAUAUUUGGACUCAUGGAAUUUUGUUUAUUGUAACCGCAAACUGGCAAAUCGGCAAGGACCAGAAGUACUAAAACAAGUGUCGAUGCCCCCCAGUCUAGUCAAGAUAAAAGAAAAGGCCCCAAGAGUACUAAAUCGCAAGCGAAGAGCCAGAAGACAGCACCGCCUUCUCCUCCUCAUCCAGUAUCGCCGAUUCAUGUGGAAUCGUCUCCCUCUUCGCCAAAAAUCCAGACGCAGCAAGCACAAUCUUCUCCUCAAUCAACACCUUCUCCUCAGCCAGCACCUCAGCCCCAAGAAGUACCAGCCGAUGUGCUUGAGUAGCCUGACGAUCCAAUCAUAUCUUCAGAAUAGACGAGUAUCGCUCCCCCUCAAGGUAAAGUACUAUCCAUAAAAUUAUCACUGACGGGUUCAUUCUUUCGAAUCAUAAUUAUCUUUAUUAUUUCUCAGUUGACAUCGUUCCAUCGGCAACUCCAGCCGAUCAACCUGUGGUAUCGGUGGCAUCAACCAGCCAGAGGCGCGAAAUAGCUUUGAAACAAGUAAGUUAUCUGAUUUCCACUACUUAUAUCACUAAUGUCUAAUUAUCAAAUAACUUAUCUUAUUUUUCUCCAGGAACAAGACUCUCCGGACAGCUUGUUUUCCUUCGCCAUCGAGAUUUCUGAUGAUGAGGGUGAGGAAGCCUCUCAAGCAAUAGGGAUUUCAUCGGCAGAAAUCAGAGCAAAACUGGAGGAUCUGCUGGCCCUGCUACACCAAGACACUGCUCAAUUGGUUGAUGACUCUGAUCCAGCCAAAGCUCUGUUUAAAGCUCUUAGGUGUCAAAUCCCAGCCGAUGCCGAGGAAAUUCUUUUCCAAGCUGCACACUUGGAAAGCCAUUAGCUCCAGUAUCAAAAGGCUACCCAGCGUCUUGCCGAUAGAGCCACCCACACCCAGCUCUCAGAGGAAGUAAUGCAAGUGAAACGUCUUGCCGAUGAGAAACACAAGAGCAUCAGCAUUCUACAAUCCUCAAGGGAGACACUGAGGCAGAAGAACUCUGAUCUAUCGGCAAAGAGGGAAGCCCUACUGGUAGAGCUCAAGCAAGUAGAAGAGGCUCUCUCUCAAGCUCAGCAAGAAGAAAGUCAGCUGCCCGAGAUGAUCAAGACCCUCCAACAAGAAUGAAACAUUCAGGCCCGCAAGGCGCUGCAGACGAAGAAGAAGCUGAAGCCAGUGGAGGGCUCCGCCGAUGAAGACAUCCGGGAGAUAGAAGAAGCCGAUCAAAUCCGUCUGCGCGCCAUAUUGGCCAUCCAAGCCUUGCUGAAUGUAUGAACUCUUCAUCGGCAACUUGCCUUGUUCCGUUUUUAAAAAACUUCUGAUUAUUUUGGUUUAGCCAAUAGGAUUGUUAUCGGCAUCCUUUAAAACAUUAUGCUCAGUCCCAGAUACAUCUUAAUCCAACCGAUAGGAGUGUUAUCGGCGCUUAAACUUUCAUGCAUCAACCCAAAUGCUUGGGUAAUACCUCUUUAAAUAUUUUCCAUUUAAUGCCCUAGGAAAUUCAACUCCUUCGAGAGUUUCCAAAAUAUAAGCAUUACCAGGAGCAGACUGUUGGGUAUUCUUAACAUCAUUACCAAAAGUAGACAGAUUUCUAAUUCUAGUAACGGUGCCAGAAAUGGCAAACCUAUCCCUCAUACCACUUAAGCCAAGUUGUCAUCCCUAGCAUGACAUGAGAGACACGGUAUUGAAAUAUGCAAUUGCUCUUCUAAAUAAAUAAUGAAUGGGAUCUGCAUGUAGCAUUUUAACCGGGAAGUAUUCCAGGUAUCGUUAUUUAUAUUUUUACCACUGGGAAGAGAUUAACAAUCAUCAAUAUUGAUUAUAGAAUAGAAUAUGAGAUUGAGUAUCUAUCAUUGCAUGUAUAAUUGAGAACAUUUAUCUAACUCUUUCAUACAGGGAUAAGUGUCACAUAAAAGAUAUAUGAAGUAAUGAAUAGUGACAAAGAUAAUUAAUCUGAUCAGCAUAACUAGCCACAUAAUAAAUAUGAUAAGCACCUCAAUUAGAUACUCUAGAAAGUCAUUAGCAUGGUAUUAGAACGAACUACAAGAAUAUUUCCUAAGUUAUUCUCAACUAUAUAGUCUAGCAUUAUCAUAGUUAGUGCAAGCAUACUUAGCAAUUAUUACGAGACAAGACUACGCCCAUGCAUAGUGAUAUUAGCAAGGUAAAUGAGAAACAUAGCAAUCACUCCCCUGUAAUAAUGUUGCUCUACCAGCCCAAUACAUGAGAGGGGGACUAUAUAAGAAUCAAUGAAGCUGUCACUAUCACGAACUACCCCACGAUCUGGCAUAUUGGGUACAAGCGCAGAUAAAUACGGUAUAAGCACCACGCCUACACAAUAUCUAUCAUUUACCCAUGGAUCCGAUGGAUAAACACUAUACGAUCCUAAACAUGUAUAUAGAUCCAAUCUAACUAAGCCAAGUACAUAACUAUGAUAAACUAAGAAGAAUAUAAUCUUGAAUAUAAACAAGUAGAGCAAAGUCAUAAGCAAUAUAUUGAAGUAGAACAAAGUCAUAUUCAUAAUAUUGAAGAACAAAGAUAUUUACAAGAACAAUUAGAAGCACAAUUAGAGAAUUACCAAGAAUCCUCUUGACAGAUCCAGAAACCAAUCGAAGAUUGACUCCUUCUAGUUCUAAUCCUAUGUAGCUAUGCUAAUCUAGAUAUCUAAUUGAUGUGGUGGCUCUAAUCUUGAUGAGGGGCUUCUUCUCCCUUGAGGAAUAAUGAAUUAGGGUUGAGAGGCUCUCUCCUCCAGGGGCCAGGGGGUCUGGUUUUAUAGUCCCUCCAAGUGAAUAUGGGCCGUUGGAUCAAACCGACAUUGGUUGAACGGUUAUCCUUGAUCCUUUAGGUCGGUGGAGAUUGAUCCCGAAAGAGAGUCCUGAUUGGACUCCAGAGGUGGGCGGUGAAAGGUCCUAAUAUGGCUAGAGGGGGGGUGAAUAGCCUAUUUAAAAAUUCUACAAACUCACUAGAGCAAAAGGUUAGUAAAUAACAAAGCGAAGCUUUUUGCUCUAGCUCUAAAGGGGUGUUUGCAAGCCACCUACCCAACAAUUCUAGUUGCUAAGAUCUCUAUGCACACAAGAACUAAGUCUCUACAAGUUACACUAGAGAACUAAGCUACACAAUUCAAAGUAAGGAACUAAACUAAUUACACUAGUUUGCGGUAAGUAAAGAUAAGAUGAGAUAUUUAUACCGCCGUGUAGGGGAUGAACCAAUCACCAAUAUAAACAAUCAAGCACCGGGAGAAUGCCAAUCAAACACAAUUGAGACAUCGAUUUUUCUCCCGAGGUUCACGUGCUUGCCGGCACGCUACGUCCCCGUUGUGUCGACCAACACUUGGUGGUUCGGUGGCCAAGAGGUGUAGCACGAACCUCGUCCUCACUAGGACACCACAAGAACCUACCCACAAGUGAGGUAGCUCAAUGACACGAGCAAUCCACUAGAGUUACCUUUCGGCUCUCCGCCGGGGAAGGUACAAGACCCCUCACAAUCACCGGGAGAUGGCCACGAACAAUCACCAACUCGUGCCAAUCCUCCUCCACUGCUCCAAGCCGUCUAGGUGGCGGCAACCACCAAGAGUAACAAGAAAACCGCAGCUAGAACGAUCCCCAAGUGCCACUAGAUGCAAUCACUCAAGCAAAUGCACUUGGAAUUACUCCCAAUCUCACAAAGAUGUAUAAUCUAUGAAGGAGAUGAGUGGGAGGAGUUUGCUUAGGCUCACAAGGAUGUCUAGUAGUCAAGAAUGCCAAGAGAGUGAGCCCCAAGCUGGCCAAACACGUAUUUAUAGCCCCUCAAACAAAUAGAGCCAUUGGCUCUUUUCACUGGGCAAACUGCGGGGUCACCGGACGCUCUUAAAGGGGCACCGGACGCUCAACACCUGCGUCCGGUGCUCCAACGUCAGCCGCAUGUCAGAAUCUAACGGUAACCUGCAGUGCACCGGACGCUGAGCAAGUUAGCACCAACGUGUCCGGUGCACACCGGACUCAUGCGCAGAGAGUUCCGCAAACACGCAGGGUCACCGGACGCAAGCCACAGGACGCACCCUGAGCGUCCGGUGCUCACCGGACUCACACCCAGAGAGGUUUGCAAAAACGCGCGGACACUAGACUCAGACCACCGGACGCUCCAGCUUGCGUCCGGUGCCUGGCGUCCGGUGCUUAACCCUAGCUGAGCCAGGCAGCCUGCACACCGGACGCUCAGACACAGCGUCCGGUGCCUCUGAGCCAGCGUCCGGUGAGUGUUCCUCAGCGAGAAACACUCCCGUGACUUCUCCAAAACUCCCACCGGCGCAAUAGAAAAUAUGCACUUCAUUUUCUCAAAAGCGCCAAAACACAUCCUCUCUCUAACCUUCAAACUCCACCUCCUUCUCAAAGUGUGCCAACACCACAAUGUGUAAACCAACAUGUGUGCACGUGUGUUAGCAUUUUCACAAUCAUUUUCUUUGAAGGAGUUAAGUUAGCUCACUAGGUUCUAAAUGCAUGCCCAUGAACAAUGACACCAAGUGGCACUUGAUAACCGCUUAGCCAAGGAAUUCCCCUCUUUAUAGUACGGCUAUUUAUCCUAAAUGUGAUCACACCCUCUAUGGUGUCUUGAUCACCAAAACCAAAACCCUAAGCAAUACCUUUGCCUUGAUCUCCAUAGGGUUUUGUUUUUCUCUUUCUUCUUUUCCAAGUUGAGCACUUGAUCAUCUUGUGGUCAUCACCAUCAUCACCAUGAUUAACACUUGCUCCAUCACUUGGCAUGUACCAACCUCAUUAAGUCUACACAUACUUAGCAUAGAGGUUAGUACUAGGGUUUCAUCAAUUAUCCAAAACCAAACUAGGGCUUUCAAUCUCCCCCUUUUUGGUAAUUGAUGACAACCCUUUUUACAAAGAUUUUCAAUAAAAUUUUCUUGGAUUCAUGUUGCUUGCCCAAGCAUUUUACCAUGUGCAAAGGUUAUGGAGAAGUUUCAUAAACCCAAAUUGGUAGCAAUUGCUCCCCCUACAUAUGUGCUAAGAGUUUGGAUUGAAAGCUUGCACAUAUGCUUGAAUAGGAAAUAUAGGAGUCAAUUUCUACCAAAUGAUGCUGAGGUGUAAAGAAUGGACCUUUGAAGCGUGAUACCAAUCAGAGUUGCCAAUAUACACCAUCCUUAGCACCAUUAGUAACUAGACAUUCACAAAACUAGAACACCCCAUGAGAUCAACAUUAUAAACAAGGUUCUAGUACCACUUGUGAAACAACUAAAGGUCUAGUUACACUACCUAUGCAUGCUAGUUCUUCAUUUCAUCAAUCAAGCCUACAACUAGCAUACACCACACAAGCAAGGCAUUGGAGAGAAACCUUCUAAAGCUAAUGCAAAUGCAAGCAAACAUAUGUGAUGUACAUACAAAUGCAACAUACAAGUUUAUGAGCUUGCUCCCCCUACUUGUGUGCUUCAAAAAUUUUAAUUGAUCCCCUUCUUUUAUCAUGUUACUCCCCUAUCUUAAAUCUUUGGGAAAUUCUCUCCCCCUUUGUCAUCAAAGACCACAAAAGGUGAGCUCAAAUUUUAGAUAGGUUAGUGUGAAACCACAUGAAGUGAGAUUAUUUUACAAAUUAGUUCAAUCUAUAUUACUUGCCUAACAUAUUUAACUCGGUUUGAUCCAAGGACAAGCUUCUUCACACCUCCAAAUAAGGGUUAUCUUGCACCAUGUUGAGAUAAACACUUAUAGCUCAUAUUCUAGAUCAAACACUAGGAUUGCAAGCCCACAAACAUGUCAUAUGCUACCACUAGAUCAAAUCAAGCAUAGAGGCAAUAGUGGUACCAUAUAAGCAUCAAAUUCAUUUGAUUUUCAUGAAUGAUCCUAAGACAUGUAAGGAAUGACUAGAUGCACUAAGCAAGUCCUUAGCAUAAGAUGAAUGACAUGUCAAACAAUUUUACCUUGCUUUGCUCGAAGGAGAGGCAUGUCAUAUAGUGGGGGUGCAUCAACACAUAUUUGAAAAGUCAAGUAUGUUCAAUUCAUUUCUUAGCUUGCAAAACCUAUCCUCAUCAAGUGGCUUGGUGAAUAUAUCAGCAAGUUGAUCAUCGGUGCCUAUACUCUCAAUGCAAAUGUCCCCUUUUUGUUGGUGAUCUCUUAUGAAAUGAUGUCGGACAUCUAUGUGCUUUGUUCUUGAGUGUUGAACCGGAUUAUUGGUGAGCUUCACGGCACUUUCAUUGUCACAUAGCAAUGGCACUUCUUUAAAAUUGAAUCCAAAAUCUCUCAAUGUUGCCUUCAUCCAUAGAAUUUGUGCACAACAACUACCGGCCGCAAUGUACUCCACUUCGGCGGUUGAUAGUGCAACACUAUUUUGCUUCUUGGAUGACCAUGAGACAAGUGAUCUACCCAAUAGUUGACAUGUGCCCAAUGUGCUUCUUCUCUCAACUUUGCAUCCCGCAUAGUCCGAAUCGGAAUAUCCAACAAGUUCAAACUUUGCACCUUUGGGAUACCAUAGACCAACAUUUUGUGUAUGCUUCAAGUACCUCAAUAUUCUCUUUGUUGCCUUCAAAUGACUUUCUCUUGGUGAGGCUUGAAAUCUUGCACACAUGCAUACACUAAACAUGACAUCCGGUCUUGAUGCGGUCACAUAGAGUAGGCUUCCAAUCAUGGACCGAUACAACUUUUGAUCCACCAUAUUUCCACUUGUAUCACUAUCUAGGCUUCCAUUUGUUCCCAUUGGUGUGCUAAUUGAUUUUGCAUCAUCCAUACCAAACUUCUUGAGCAUGUCUUUUAUGUACUUGCCUUGACUCACAAAUGUGCCAUUCUUCAAUUGCUUGAUUUGAAGACCAAGGAAGUAACUAAGCUCUCCAAUCAUUGACAUCUCAAACUCAUUAGCCAUCAUGUUUCCAAACUCCUCACAAAAUUCUUGAUUGGUUGAUCCAAAUAUGAUAUCAUCAAUAUAGAUUUGCAACACAAACAAGUCCUUGCAAAUAUUUUUGGUGAAGAGAGUGGUGUCAACCUUGCCCAUCUUGAAACCUUUAGAGAGUAAGAAAUCUCUCAAUCUCUCAUACCAUGCUCUAGGUGCUUUCUUCAAACCAUACAAUGCCUUUCUUAGCUUGUAAACAUGGUUGGGUUUCUUGUCAUCUUCAAAACCGGGAGGUUGCUCAACAUAAACUUCUUCAUUGAUAUAGCUACGGAUAGCAAGUUGAAGUUCAAGCUCUCUACUAGUAGCACAUUGGAAAUGCUCAAGUCAUUGGAUAUAGCAAUUUUACCAAGCCCUUUGACCUUGCCUUUGCCAUUAUCACCAAAUGUGAUACUAUCAACACCAUUGUCAUCAUUUGGAUUGAUUGAAUUGAACAUUCUUGAAUCACCGGUCAUGUGUUGUGUGCACCCACUAUCAAGCACCCAAUGCCUUCCUCCGGCUUUAUAGUUUACCUACAAAACAAAUCAAUGUUUCUUAGGUACCCAUACUUGUUUGGGUCCUUGGAGGUUAGUGACUAAGCUUUUUGGUACCCAAAUGGCCUUCUUCUUUGGACCCACAAUUGGUAUACCAACAAACUUAGCAUGCACACCCUUCUCACCCUUGGUAAGCACAUAACAAGAAUCAAAAGGAAUGUAAGGUGCAUUAGCAAUUUUCUUGUUCUUGUUCAUUUUAUUGCAAUUAAGCUCUAGGUGCCCAACUUGCUUGCAUUUGUUGCAAUACCGACCAUUGCUCUUCACAAAGCUAGGCUUGUGAGUUGCAAAGGCUUUCUUGCCCUUCUUGGGGGUAUAGCCUAAUCCCUCUUUAUUGAGAGAAAACAUUUGGCUACCCAAGCACUUUAGCAAGUGGGCCUCACCACCAUAGGCUUUGCCUAAGGCGUGAGUGAGCUCAUCCACCUCUCUCUUGAGAGUCUCAUUCUCAACCUUUAGUGAGGUGUCACAAGUGACACUAACACUAGAAGUAUAGGUAGAGUUGGUGGUGGUGGAUGAAGACCUACAAGAAGAGUUAGUGGCAACAACAAUAGGUAGGUUGGGUGAUUCUUUAAUUAAGUCACAUGUUGUGCUCACAUCACAUGAUACAACAACCUUUUCCUUGUUCUCUUCUAACAACAAGGAGUGAGCUUUCUCAAGCUUGGUGUGAGCCUUGCCAAGCUUCUCAUGGGCUUCCACUAGCCUCUCAUGAUUAGCAUUGAGCUCAUCAAAGGAUUGCUCAAGAGCUUUUAACUUCUUGGUCAAUUCUUUGCACUUCUUGUUUUUAGAUUGAAUAAGUGAAUCGGCUUGUUCUAGCAUGUCCAUGAGUUGUUCAUUAGUGAAUUUAUUUUCAUCAUCACUAUCACUAUCAUGUUCAUGUUCACUUUCACUUUCACUCUCAUCAUAUUGUACCUUGUGGCCCUUGGCCAUGAAGCAUGAAGGAGUGUCGAAGAGUGAUGGCUUGUUGUUGAUAGCAAUGCUUGCAAGUGCCUUCUUCUUGGAUGCCUUGUCAUCAUCACUAGAAUCAUCAUCCGAAGAAGCAUCACUAUCCCAUGUCACAACAUAGGAUCCACCCUUCUUCUUCUUCUUGAAGACCAUCUUCUUAUCUUUCUUUUCUUUCUUCUCCUUCUUGUUCUUCUUGUCAUGCUCAUCAUUGUCACUAUUGUAAGGACAAUCCGCCACAAUAUGAUCGGGGCUUUUGCACUUGUAGCAUAGCCUCACAUACUCCUUGUUCUUGUAGUGAUCUCUUCUCUUUCUUGUGUGAUAGCCCUUCUUCUUCAUCAUCUUGCCAAACUUGCGAACAAAGAGUGCUAGUGCUUCAUCAUCACUAUCAUCAUUGGAGCACUCCUCAUCACUAGAUUCUUCCUUCUUGGCCUUGCCUUUAUUCUUGCUCUUGGAUGAAGAGCUAGCUUUGAAUGCUACACUCUUCUUCUUCUUAUCAUCAUCAUCCUUCUUCAUGACCUCAUCAUUAUCAUUAUAUUGAUCUUCGGUCAUGACAUCUCCAAGUACCUCAUUGGGAGAUACACCCGUCAAUCCUCCUCUAAAUAUGAUGGUUCUCAAUGUCUUGAAUCUCUUGGGCAGGCACAUCAAGAACUUGUGAAUGAAAUCCUCAUCCUUCACUUUCUCACCAAGGCCCUUGAGAUCAUUGAUGAUGACUUGGAGCCUAUAGAACAUCUCCGGGAUUGACUCAUCAUCCUUCAUCUUGAAGUUUGAAAGCUUGUCCUUGAGCAUGUACAACUUGGCACUUUUUACCGUUGUAGUGCCCUCAUAUGUUUCUUCAAGCCUUGUCCACACUUCACUAGCCUUCUCAAGAUCUUUGACUUGCUCAAACACCUUUGAAUCAAUGCCAUUGUAUAUUGUGUUGAGAGCCAUAGUAUUGCAUUGCUUGUUUGCUCUCUCAUUGUCGGUGGGGUUAGCGGGGUCAAGGAUCACAAAGUCAUUCUCCGUGACUUCCCACACUCUAUCAUUGAUUGAUCCAAGGUACAUCUGCAUAUUUCUCUUCCAAUAGUCAAAGGAACUUGUGCCAUCAAAGAACGGUGGUUUGCCCCCAACAUGGUUGAACACUAUUUGAGCCAUAAUUUGAGCACCGAGGUUGAUAAGCCUUCACAAAACGGUGACCACGGCUUUGAUACCACUUGAAAGGUCCUAAUAUGGCUAGAGGGGGGGUGAAUAGCCUAUUUAAAAAUUCUACAAACUCACUAGAGCAAAAAGGUUAGUAAAUAACAAAGUGAAGCUUUUUGCUCUAGCUCUAAAGGGGUGUUUACAAGCCACCUACCCAACAAUUCUAGUUGCUAAGAUCUCUAUGCACACAAGAACUAAGUCUCUACAAGUUACACUAGAGAACUAAGCUACACAAGUCAAAGUAAGCAACUAAACUAAUUACACUAGUUUGCGGUAAGUAAAGAUAAGAUGAGAUAUUUAUACCGCCGUGUAGGGGAUGAACCAAUCACCAAUAUAAACAAUCAAGCACUGGGAGAAUGCCAAUCAAACACAAUUGAGACACCGAUUUUUCUCCCGAGGUUCACGUGCUUGCCGGCACGCUACGUCCCCGUUGUGUCGACCAACACUUGGUGGUUCGGUGGCCAAGAGGUGUAGCACGAACCUCGUCCUCACUAGGACACCACAAGAACCUACCCACAAGUGAGGUAGCUCAAUGACACGAGCAAUCCACUAGAGUUACCUUUCGGCUCUCCGCCGGGGAAGGUACAAGACCCCUCACAAUCACCGGGAGAUGGCCACGAACAAUCACCAACUCGUGCCAAUCCUCCUCCACUGCUCCAAGCCGUCUAGGUGGCGGCAACCACCAAGAGUAACAAGAAAACCGCAGCUAGAACGAUCCCCAAGUGCCACUAGAUGCAAUCACUCAAGCAAAUGCACUUGGAAUUACUCCCAAUCUCACAAAGAUGUAUAAUCUAUGAAGGAGAUGAGUGGGAGGAGUUUGCUUAGGCUCACAAGGAAGUCUAGUAGUCAAGAAUGCCAAGAGAGUGAGCCCCAAGCUGGCCAAACACGUAUUUAUAGCCCCUCAAACAAAUAGAGCCAUUGGCUCUUUUCACCGGGCAAACUGCGGGGUCACCGGACGCUCUUAAAGGGGCACUGGACGCUCAACACCUGCGUCUGGUGCUCCAACGUCAGCCGCAUGUCAGAAUCUAACGGUAACCUGCAGUGCACCGGACGCUGAGCAAGUUAGCACCGACGUGUCCGGUGCACACCGGACUCAUGCGCAGAGAGUUCCGCAAACACGCAGGGUCACCGGACGCAAGCCACCGGACGCACCCUGAGCGUCCGGUGCUCACCGGACUCACACCCAGAGAGGUUUGCAAAAAUGCGCGGACACUGGACUCAGACCACCGGACGCUCCAGCUUGCAUCCGGUGCUUGGCGUCCGGUGCUUAACCCUAGCUGAGCCAGGCAGCCUGCACACCGGACGCUCAGACACAGCGUCCGGUGCCUCUGAGCCAGCGUCCGGUGAGUGUUCCUCAGCGAGAAACACUCCCGUGACUUCUCCAAAACUCCCACCGGCGCAAUAGAAAAUAUGCACUUCAUUUUCUCAAAAGCGCCAAAACCCAUCCUCUCUCUAACCUUCAAACUCCACCUCCUUCUCAAAGUGUGCCAACACCACAAUGUGUAAACCAACAUGUGUGCACGUGUGUUAGCAUUUUCACAAUCAUUUUCUUCGAAGGAGUUAAGUUAGCUCACUAGGUUCUAAAUGCAUGCCCAUGAACAAUGACACCAAGUGGCACUUGAUAACCGCUUAGCCAAGGAAUUCCCCUCUUUAUAGUACGGCUAUUUAUCCUAAAUGUGAUCACACCCUCUAUGGUGUCUUGAUCACCAAAACCAAAACCCUAAGCAAUACCUUUGCCUUGAUCUCCAUAGGGUUUUGUUUUUCUCUUUCUUCUUUUCCAAGUUGAGCACUUGUGGUCAUCACCAUCAUCACCAUGAUUAACACUUGCUCCAUCACUUGGCAUGUACCAACCUCAUUAAGUCUACACAUACUUAGCAUAGAGGUUAGUACUAGGGUUUCAUCAAUUAUCCAAAACCAAACUAGGGCUUUCAGGCGGGCGCCCAGUGCCUGGCCGCGUUCGGCCUCCGCUUCGUUCUCGUGGCUUCUGAAGUCUUCUAGAUGUAAGAUAAUUGCACGGCACGUUGAUAUCACUAUGUAAUCCCGACGUGUUGGCCUUUCUUCCGUAUUUCCUGAUAACCCCCUGCAGAAAUAGACAAACACCAAAACUCGUGGAAUUCUGUCAGAUAAAACCCUAAGUCUAGAUGUUGAUUUCAUUUGGAUCCUUUUCUUUGUUUAUUUGAUAAUUAAAUUUGGUACUUAAGGACCGUCAAAAAACUCCCCCAAGCUUACCUCUUGCUCGUCCCUGAGCAAGGAUAAUCUCAGCGAUGGAUUAGAAGUUGCUGCAAUUUCUUUAAAAAUUGACGGUACACAUGCUUUUAAAUAAGAUCUCAUCUUUGAGUUAGAGUAAACUGUCAAGACUUAAAACUUACUUACUUUACCUUUCACCAUGGGACUUGUAACCGUCACUUCUGUCUUGAGUCGUUAAAAGAUAGAACAGUCUUGUCAAGUGCCAUGACUCUUAUUCUUGAUCAGCUAUAGCUCUGGAGUUUUUGCAGAUUUUCAAAUAAAACUCAGAGAUUCCUUUAUGAUUCUCUUUUGUGGUAUUUCUGGAUCCUUACCAAGGCAGUAAUGGUAUAUGCCUUCUCUCAAAGUGUAUGUAGUAUUUGUAGUAUAAGGCAUAGUGACAUUGCCUUUUCUCUCACCCUACUCUAAUAAGGCUUUAAUAUCUGGAGCUCAUAGGUGGGAGAUAAAGUAUACAUACUUACAAGACAUUUAUUGCAUAGUCAAACCAUGGAUCCAAAGAAACAAAUCAAUAAGUCAAAUCAAGAUGUGCAUGUGUGGCGAAUGAAUGGUAUAUGGUGAUGAUGGUGAUAACAAUGGUGAAAGUCUAAUUCUACUUUUGCUCUUUGAGGGGAUACAUACCUACCUUGCUUUUUGAAACUUUAUGAGGAGAAUGAGAUGCUUUGUAUUUUCUUUUUUUCCACUCAGGUGGGUAUCUUGUACCCCUAAUUCUACUGUCGGACACUUGUCCAUUUUUACCUCUCGUCUUACUUUUUCUUUUCUUUCGAGGUUCCGGGCACUUGCCCCUUUUUAUUUCCUCGUAUUUCCUUUUUUUAGAGAACUCAUCUCUUGAGAUAAUAUAGCAAGUGGUACUAACAAGAUAACUUGAGCAUUUAUUUCACAAGGGAAAAAUAGAAAUAUUUUUGGCUAUUCUCUCCCGGAUUAGGAGUAGAAUAUUUUUAGGUGGUUCUGGAGAUGGAAAUGAGUGGAUAUAUGUGGAUGGUACUUCCAGAGUAGAAGCAGCAUAUGUGAAUGAACGUGCAAGUGAAAUCUUGGUUUAACCACAUGACAAGCUCCUAAGGGUCUACACAGCUUGACCACACUCAAUGCUCAUAAGCAGUAAAUAGUAAAUAUGUGGCUUAAAGUCUAGCAAGAACGUAUAUAUGGCUUUGGUAGGAAUUUAAAAUCUCAUCAUACAGGAACUCAUCAUGUAAUAUUUUAUAGAUUUUCAAAGAUAAAAUUCUCCAGAAUUCUAGCAUCUCUUGGAACAGAUAAAUAGCAGCUCAACCUUCCCAUAUCAUAUCCGUUAACAACUUAGACUUCAGAUCAAGUUUUCUUCCCACAAGUUUAGGUUUAGAGCAAGCUUUAAAUUAUAACAGUUAUGUCUAAACUUGAGAGAGAACUUCAAAUUUUAAAAAUUAGGCAGAGCAACUAUUCAUCAUAUCCAUGCUAGAGUUAUAUUAUUAAGAUUCAGAUCAGCAUAGCUACUUUAUUUAUUUAUUAAACACAAUAAGCAAAAGACAUUUAUAUAUAUAAGCAUAAAAUCUUUAUUUGGUUUUUCAUGGUUAUGUAUAUUUAUAUAUAGUAUAAGUAUAAAGAUAGAUAGAAAUACUUAUCGGGAUAAAUGGAGGUGCUCUCCCCCAAGCUGAAUGUUGACGUAAUUUCUCCUGAUGUAGCUAGCAGGUGGCAGAGGUGUAUUUGAAAGUCGGCAUUAUCCUGACAGCGAUUAGAAUGUCCUCCGUCUGCUAGUCUUCUUGAUUCUUAAAUUCUGUGGAGCUCAAAUAGACAACAAAGUUUUGUGGAACUGAUUAAGUGUUAGCAUAAAUAUCUAGCCUUUAUCAUGUUGAGUCUCCUUAAUAAAUAUUACUCUCUUAUUUUUAUAUUUUCAUUUUAUAAAGCAGAAAAGAAAUAUUUAUUUUAUUUUUAUGCCACCAUAGUGAAUGUUCUUAUGGGUUUUAUGCCACUCGUAUACUCACAUGGGGCUUACUAUUUUUAACAUUUUUAUUUUCUUUUUAGGAUAGUACGAACAUAAUUAACUCAGCAAACGAUUUGAAAUAAUUGAAAGGGAAAAGGGUAACUACCAAGUUUACCUCUUGGCAAGGCGUUCGGUGUUUUUAAGUCAUCCGAACGGGACUCUCUGUUUUCUCACUUGUCCUAGGAUUCGUUGGUUGACGUAGUCGGUGCUUCCGGCGGCGCCUCUUCUUCAUGUAUAGUUAUCUUCUCUCUCCACACCUGACUCGGUGCUUCGGUCUCCUUAGGAUAGUUCUGUUUAAACUGUAUGUCUUCAGACCUUAUCACUUCUCCUUCAUAGUCUGCCCAUCCAUCCUUGAUGAUUUGCCUCCUCUAGUUGCGGUUGCGUCGUUUCCUCACCUGCUUAGAGUCUUCAACGAUAUAGUUAGGGUCAAUAAAAUAGCGGCGUACCUUCUCUGAGGGGAAGUGCAUAUGGACUUCUCCAGUUCCAAUGUAGAUGAUUUCUUUAACGGUCCUGAGGAACGGUCUUCCAAGGAUGACGGGUGGAUCGUAUUCGUCUUCUCCCUUGUCAAUAACCUAAAAGUCUGUGUAGACAUAAUGAUCGUCUAUUUUGACAGGGACAUCAGUUACUAUUCCUUUAACCUCUCGAAAUAUCUGAUCUGCCAUCUGGAGCUGAAUGUAUGUUGGUUUCAGGGGCAUGGUCCCGAACAAGAGCCGAUAGGUGACUGCGGCCAUUAUGUUGACGCCCGAUCCGGUGUCGCAAGUCGUCUUGUACAAGUUGUAUCCAUUUAUGGAGCAAUAGAUGCUUGGCAUUCCUGGGUCGUCCUUCUUAGUCAAAAACGGUGACUUGAGUUGAUGAUCUUGACCUCCUUGAACUGCAGUGACCAUCUUAGCUGACUCGGUCCAUACUUGCUUGUUCCUGUUCCUCCUGUUGGUCCUCUUCCUUGAUUCACGUCUGGAUUGAUCUGGGAUUUGUGUAGUCUUGUUCUUGAAGGAAAACGUCUCCUUUCUCCCUUUGAUGUAGAAACUGAUCUUGGCAGCACUGGCGUAGAUGACAGAUCCCGAGGUGUUUAAGAAUGGCCUCCCUAAGAUGAUGGGUGCCCUCUCAUCAUUACCGGUCUCUACCACUACGAAGUCUGCUGGGGCAUAUAAGGUACCAACUCGGACACAAAGGUUCCUCAAUAUUCCUUUUGGAAAACUUAUCGUCUGAUCUGCAAACUGCAAACACAUAGUUGUUUCUAAUAAAGGAUAUGUAAAGAAUUU